rnacentral:rRNA from 1 species
UACAAAGGGUGCAAGCGUUACUCGGAAUUACUGGGCGUAAAGCGUGCGUAGGCGGUUCGUUAAGUCUGAUGUGAAAGCCCUGGGCUCAACCUGGGAACUGCAUUGGAUACUGGCGAUCUGGAGUGCGGUAGAGGGUGGCGGAAUUCCCGGUGUAGCAGUGAAAUGCGUAGAUAUCGGAAGGAACACCGGUGGCGAAAGCGGCGCGCUGGACCUCUUCUGACGCUGAGGCGCGAAAGCCAGGGGAGCAAACGGG